AGAAUUUUAAGUUAUUUAAACUUGAAGCCUUCAAAGCUUUCUAAAAAAGUGUCAAUCUUUUAAAUUCUA
rnacentral:tRNA from 1 species